CUGAGCCACUGUUGCCACCGUGCGGGCGUUUGGCAGAGAGAUGCUCUGCAGCCUCAGAGCCCGGGCAGCGGUGGAGUGAUAUCCCUGCAGUUCAACUGCCCAGAGCUGCCCCUCUGCCAUUGCUAUGAAUCGGUGCUAAUUGCUACCGGUGAGCAAUGGGCUGUGCCACCGCGGCUCCUGCACCUGAGGACUCUAAUCAAGUUUUCCAGAGCCGCGGUCCAAAUGAGGAUCUGUGUGCAGAAUAUCCGACCCAGGAGAACGGGAUGGAGCUUUGCAUGGGAAGCAAUGCCAGGCUGGAAAUUUCCAAAGCGCUCAGCGGUUCACCUGCACUGCAGCGCAGACCACAUCCCCUCCGUGCACAGCUCUGCCAGCCCUGAGCUCCUGCUCGCAGGUGGAUGGGUUGCACUCAGCGCUGGAAGAGUGUUGUAAGGCAGCUUUAUAAUCGCUUUAUAAUCUCUGAAAUUGCUUUCUACCAUUAUUUCCGCUCCUGGAUCCAACUGUCCAUCAGCAGCUUUCAGUGCAAAUGUGUUUUUUAAUGCUUGUCUUGCAGUGUUUUGCAAACAAUGGACCCAUUAUUGUCUUGAGUUCAGAUGGCCUGCUUACACGUAACCAUGGCCAUCCAUAUAACCUCCUUGUUCCGUUGAACGGUGCAGAGGAUGCAAACAAUGUGUACUGUUCUGAGAGCAAAUGCAGAAGUGAUCCAUACUGCACAGGUCACAGCGGAGCCUGGCCGUUAAUUGGCUGUACAGUUGUAGGAGAAGGGAGGAAAACCCAACCACAGCCCAUCUUUGUGGCUGGGCCAAAGGUGGGCAAGAUCACAGCUGAAGUGCUCACGUGGGCUCCUGAUUGUGGAAACACGCUGAAUAUGUGAUACAAUGUGAAGUUACGUAACACCUUUAAUGAAAUUCUUGGCGAUAAAACAAUGCAUAAAAAGAACAGAUGUGGCAAAUUGCAGCCGCGGUCUGAUCCCUUUCUCUGGUUGGUUUAGUGAAAACAAUGGAGUUGAUUUAAAUUCAUUUUUUAAUUUUCUUUCUUCAAAAUGUCCACAGGCAAAGAAAGAAAAGCAAAAAAACAAAACAAAACAAAAAACUCCAAGUGCAAAUGGGGUCUUGUAUGGAGAGCUGUGAGCUCCAGUGAGGGGUGAGGGAAAUGGGGGGGCCAGCCCUGCCUGUGGGGCUCCUGCUGCAGUGUGGGACAUGACCCUGAGCUGUGUCCCUGCUGGCAGAGCAGUUCAAUGAGUCUGAGCUUGCCCAGGUCUCCAUACGUUCAGGAAUGGACGGUCCCUCACCGAGCUGCUGUUUGUGUAAGGCCCUGAAGCAGCACAAGGCAAAGCUUGGUGUCCCCCCAGCACCAAUGCUGAGUGGAGUCCAGCUCCUGCCCUCCAACCUGUUGCCAGCCCCAUGGGUUUCCCACAAGGUCCCGGGCUGUGGGGCUGCAUGGCCGAUAAGGGGCUGCAGGCUCUAAUCAGAGCUGCAUCUGCAUGCACUGUGGCUCCUGAUAAGGGCAGCAGGCUCAAGUGAUGGACUCCUGUUUGUUGUGGUACACAGUGCCCUGAAUAUGGGCAAGCUGCUGCUUCAGCCCCUAAAACCAGACCCAGAGCUUUGAACAGCAAAGCAAUGCUCUGUUGCUGCUGCACAAGCAAGAAGGCAAUGGCUGUGGCUGGGGGUUGGUUGGUUGCUAUAUUUUUUGUAAUCCUCUUUCUGCUUUCUGGCUAUUAGCAUUGUAUAUAGUUGGCUUUCUACAACAGCUCACGUUCUGGCUCCAUUGAGGCAACAGCUCCAUAAUAACUGUGCUUCCUGAAACCAAGCCCCAGCUCUGCUCCGGGAUGGCCCAUCAGCAUGGCUGGCUGAGAUGUGCCAUUAGCUCUGGGUAUUGUCUGAAGUAUUUUUGUUCUUGGAUGGAAGAAAACAGCAGGACAUUUUGAAUGAAAAUAGGAAAAAUGGCAUUAACAGCUGAUCUUUUAAUAGAUGAAAAGCCUUCAAGCUAAAGGCUUCUGACUUAAAAAGGGAAAUUUCAACGGAAAGAGGGAAGUGACUGUUUUGAAAGAGUUCGGGUGGAGGAUCAAACUGAAAGGAUCUUGUGCAACUCUGCUUUUUAGGUCUAGUGCCAAAUCCAUCCAUUUAUUCCUUACCAUGGGGAAAUCGCUGAGGAAUGCCAGGAAAAAGACAGGUCUCUGGUCUGGCUGGAAGCACACAGCACCUUGCGUGGUCAGCUCCUCAUAUCUGUCUCUGGUUUUGGGUUCUGUCUGUUCUCUGCUGCCAUAGUUGGACAGCUGGGGGCUCUGAUAAAGGAUGGGGAGAUAAGAGGCUCUCUGCCACCCCUCCCUGCCCUGCAGCUCCUGCAUGCUAAGGCUCAGCUCUCGGAACCCCAUGAGCUCUACUAAACGUGUGAGAAAGUGGCUCUCAAAUGGAAUGGGUCUCAUGCACCCCUGUCUGUGGGGGGACAUUUAAGUACAAACGCUUUGGGGGAAAAAAUGAUAUGGGGAAAAGAAUUAAAGUGUACUUAGAAGAGAGCAGAUUCCCUUCAACCAGCGCCCAUUGUGUCUCUCAAGAGGAUGCCCUUAGAGCUCUGGAACAGCUUUACCUUGAGUAAAAUCCAUAUUACUGAUGCAGCAGAGUGGGCACAGGCACACCCUGAGGGAGACAGAUAUAACACAGCUGAGGAUGUGCUGAGGGAGAGUGCACAACUGAGCACAAAAGAUCUGGGCGAAAGAGCACGUGCUGCAGCUGAACUCCUAAAGCCCUCUCCAAACCAGAGGCUAAGCUAAUGAUGAGACAUGAAGACCGUUUAGAGACAGCACGACUCCAGCAAUCCAUGAGAACAAUGCAAAGUUCAAAAAUAGCAGUAUCGACUGGUGGAAAAACAACAUACAUAUAAUUUUCAGAUCGCUGCCUGUGACCGAUGCCCUGUGCAAAAUUGUUACAAAACAGGACUGUGUGGAAGUGCUGCAUUUCACAUGUACAGUGCAGUGGGAGUGCAAAGAGGGGGAGCAACGUAGCACUGUAACAGGGAUUUACUCUCAGAGUUCUGGAAAAUGUAGUUCCUUGAGCUCUUUAAUUUUUUUUUUUCUCUGCCACAGAACUUUCCUUGUUAGGAAUUAUUUGGUAUCUGUAGAAUGUAACUUCUUGUGUGAGGAAGCCUUGCAGUCUUAAUUGAAAUCACUAGUAAUCAAAAUGGAAGAGUUUGUCCAAAACGAAAAGCUUGGUUUUGUUGGUGUUGUAAGUCUGCAUGGUUUAUUACAAACCCGCCCCACCUCUCUGAAGGUACUUGGAAGCAGAAAACUUUCUGCAGUUUCCUGUCUUUGGGUUUGGGUUGUCCUUGGCCCGGGGAGGACAUGGCUGUGGCACAGAGCUGCACUCUCCAUGGCCCAAGGUGAGCCGGCCGCAGUGCUUUCUGCUCCUUGUUCCCCAUCUACGUGCUGUGAAAAUGGGUGCUAAUGGGGAAAAAUCACAAUUGUGACUCAGUGAGGUGGAAUUUUGUUGACAAAAUCUGAAUUCAGCUCAGCCAAAGGAAAUGCUUUUGCAAGUGUAGAUGAAUAUCUCAAGAAUGACCAUUAAUUCUAG
rnacentral:lncRNA from 1 species